rnacentral:rRNA from 1 species
AUACGGAGGGUGCAAGCGUUGUUCGGAAUUACUGGGCGUAAAGGGCGCGCAGGCGGUUUGGUAAGUCAGAUGUGAAAGCCCACGGCUCAACCGUGGAAGUGCAUUUGAAACUGUCAGACUUGAGUACUAGAGGGGAAAGUGGAAUUCCCGGUGUAGAGGUGAAAUUCGUAGAUAUCGGGAGGAAUACUGGUGGCGAAGGCGACUUUCUGGCUAGAUACUGACGCUGAGGCGCGAAAGCGUGGGGAGCAAACAGGAUUAGAAACCCCAGUAGUCC